AUUUAUGAUUUGAAGUUGCCAGUGGAGACUGAGCUCUCAAGAGUGAAGAAUUUAAAGGACAAAAUACUUUCAAGAUUGUUCCUGAACACUUCUGAGAUUACAUCUUCAUUAGAAAAUUUGAGAGAGAUUAAACAUGGAAUGACAAGGAAAAGCAGACUGAAUUAUGUUAAUUUGUCUCCAAAUAAAAUUUUUCCGAAACACAGUGAAGAUAAUGGGCAAGACACUCUUAUCCUUGAUGACCAGGAAGAAACACCUGAUGUCAUAAUAGAAGAAAUACUUGAAGAUGACUUGGAAGGCAAGUGUCUUAGUACCUCAUGCUUUCAGUUUUCCGUUGUUGAGUGUGAUCCUGGUUUU
rnacentral:lncRNA from 1 species